UACGAAGGGGGCUAGCGUUGUUCGGAUUUACUGGGCGUAAAGCGCACGUAGGCGGAUCGUUAAGUCGGGGGUGAAAUCCUGGAGCUCAACUCCAGAACUGCCUUCGAUACUGGCGAUCUCGAGUCCGGAAGAGGUGAGUGGAACUCCUAGUGUAGAGGUGGAAUUCGUAGAUAUUAGGAAGAACACCAGUGGCGAAGGCGGCUCACUGGUCCGGUACUGACGCUGAAGUGCGAAAGCGUGGGGAGCAAACAGG
rnacentral:rRNA from 1 species